rnacentral:rRNA from 1 species
GAUGAACGCUGGCGGUAUGCUUAACACAUGCAAGUCGAACGGACUCUUCGGAGUUAGUGGCGGACGGGUGAGUAACGCGUGAGAAUCUGGCUUUGGGUUCGGGACAACCACUGGAAACGGUGGCUAAUACCGGAUGUGCCGAGAGGUAAAAGAGAAAUUGCCUGAAGAUGAGCUCGCGUCUGAUUAGCUCGUUGGUGAGGUAAAGGCUCACCAAGGCAGCGAUCAGUAGCUGGUCUGAGAGGAUGACCAGCCACACUGGGACUGAGACACGGCCCAGACUCCUACGGGAGGCAGCAGUGGAGAAUUUUCCGCAAUGGGCGAAUGCCUGACGGAGCAAUACCGCGUGAGGGAAGAAGGCUCUUGGGUUGUAAACCUCUUUUCUUAGGGAAGAACAAAAUGACGGUACCUAAGGAAUCAGCAUUGGCUAACUCCGUG